rnacentral:rRNA from 1 species
GACGUAGGGUGCGAGCGUUGUCCGGAUUUAUUGGGCGUAAAGCGCGCGCAGGUGGUCCGUUAAGUCCUGUGUGAAAUCUCCCGGCUCACCCGGGAGGGGGCGCGGGAUACUGGGGGACUGGAGGCAGGCAGAGGCCGGUGGAAUUCCCGGUGUAGUGGUGAAAUGCGUAGAGAUCGGGAGGAACACCAGUGGCGAAAGCGGCCGGCUGGGCCUGUUCUGACGCUGAGGCGCGAAAGCGUGGGGAGCGAACCGG